CCUAAGCACUGGGAGGUGAGUAGAUUUGGCCACACGAUGCCAUCUGCCUCUCCUCAGGCAUAGACCACUAGAUUCAGCUGAUCUGCAACUGAGAAGCCUGAAACCCUGAGCCACGCAUGGCUUCCUUCACACCUGGAAUUUGCUCCCUGCCUUGUGCCUGCUUGUCCACCACACGUCCAGUCUCUUUACCUAACCCAAACGAAGCACCAGCUUUUCCAAUGGUAGCCACUAUGCCUGAGGGAAUGAAGAAUGAAAGAGAGCUGUGGUCUCUCUUUCCGCCCUAGGCAAACCAGGACAUCGAAACCCAAGUGUGGCAGUGCUGAUGACCGUUCUAUCAGAACUGGAUUUGCUGCCUUGUUGAAGGCGGCAGCACAGACCGAAAACGUUAG